UCUUCUGUCUUUUUACUUUGCUGGAGCUUCACACCAGGACUGAGCAGUGAAGUGUGUUGCUGCUGGGUCUUUUUAUUCUGCCUGAACUCUCUUUUCAGACGUUUGCGGUUACCAAACCUACUUGGCUAAAAAAAAAAACCCAGUCUCCGAGCAGGAGGACGAAGCCCCUUCCUAGCACUAAAACUUUUGCUGCUGCGUUGUAAAAGGCACCUCCCGUACCUGGCCGACAGUUUUGGCCAGAAAUGGUGAGAAGAAAAAGCAUGAAGAAGCCGCGAAGUGGAGGAGAAAAGGUGAAGGGAGAUGCAGCUCCUGGAGAAAUUGUAAAAAGCCUUGCAAAGAGUUGUCGGAAGGACCGUUAUUCCUGCUGGGCAGGAGCGAGAGGAGAGACCCUGAAACACACGCCACCUAUCUUUGUGGGGAGGGAUAAUUGAAGAGCACCAAACAUAUGGAUCAGGGGUGAGAUGGGCUCUUCCUGGCUCUGCUCUCCCUUGGAAGUGGCUGGACGGGCAGAGGGACAGCGCGGACGAGUAACGCGUGGGACCGAACUUCAGGGAGGUUACAAGUUUUUCACCUUUUUCAAGAUGCGUGACUUGUCCACGCCUAAAUAUACCUGUAGAUACAGAGGCAUAUCACACACCCAAAGCGACGAUAUCUUAAUGAAAUGUAUAGCACAGUGCGAACAUCCUGAAAUCAGAUUCAAGCAUUAUUAAUUUGAAUUAGGUCCUCUCAGAUCCAGAAGACACUGCCUAUAAAUCAAGGGCAGUCUGGCAAUUCCUUAAAGAGCUAAACUGAAUUUAGAUGCGUAUGAUAAAAAGAAAGAAAAAGAAAAAAGUGAAUGCUAAUUACUGACUCGCUCGAUUUCCAGUCACCCACGUUUCAGAUGAAAAAAAGGGAAAAAACAACAAACAACCAACAAGUUCUCAAAAUAAAUUA